CGCCGGUGGACAUUCCCAGGGCCGCGCACCUGUCCGGCGGGCGCGCUGGCCUGGACGACGACGAGGAGGAGGAGGAGGACGGCGCCAUGGUGCCGCCGCACCUGAUGGUGUCGCGCAGGUGGUCGGAGGGGAAGGCGGCGGCGGCCUUCUCGCUGCGGUCCGGGCCCGGGCGCGCGCACCGGGACCUCAACCACCUGCGCAACUCCGUGCUGCGGAUGACCGGCUUCAUCGAAGGGUGACGGACGAGGCGGACCCGUCAUCUGUGCAUAUGUGCGAGAAAAGUCAGUCACCA
rnacentral:lncRNA from 1 species